GUCUAUGGCCAUGCCACCCUGAAUAAGCCCGAUCCCGUCUGAUAGCGGAAGCUAAGCAGGGUUGGGCCUGGUUAGUACUUGGAUGGGAGACCACCUCAGAAGACCAAGUGCUGUAGGCU
rnacentral:rRNA from 1 species